UAACCUUUGAAAAAAAACGUUUAAUGUUUUUGUAAGAAACCGUAAAAUUAAUCAAAGUGAUUAAAGUGAUCUAUUAUAAGGGAAAAUGAAAAACUAAUCUUGAAGCUACAUACAUUAAAACCCCAAUCCAUAUGUGCAUGGUAAAUUGUAUAUAUAAUAAAUUCCCAUUGCUCUUAGCUACAGUACCAGUUUCAAGCAACAGCUCGAGUGGUUUAGAUGAGCUCCAAUACCAGAAGUUUCACGCCGACCUUGAUUUCUUUUCACCCCCAACAUCGAUUUGUGUUCACUGCCAUUUCAUCUAAUCUCGUUACUUCAUCUCCGAUUCAAUUCUUCUCUCUCAAAUUCAUCUCUCAAAUUUCAAAUCUGUGACGCCUCUUCCUCUGAAAGUAAUUUAAUUCUUCACAUCUUAUGAUGUCUUAAAUCAUUGGUCAGUCACCACCUCCAUCACACCAUCGCCCAUUGUCGAAGCCUUCCAAACUAUCUGCAGCUAUUGUUUGCUCCUCUCUCUUCUGGGUAAAGAACGGAAAAAUAAACACAUACAUGCAGUGGAGACGGUCGGAGAUAGCGAUGGCGAGGGUGGUAACGGCCGGAAACAGUUUGAUUUGAGUAUAACUAUGACUAAUUUGAGACAUAGCUUUUGAGUUUCAAUAUCUCACCCUAAUCUCCUUUCUGUAUUCAUGAACAUAAGAGAAUCGAAGGGAUGCUUCUUGAUGGUUGUCGAAAGAAACAUCAUGGGGAUGCAACCCUGAUUAUAAUGGUACUACCUCCAUCUCUCAUUAUUUAUCGAUACCAUCAGUUUUCUCCUCCUUUCAUAAUUCAAUUGAAAAUUUUGAAUUUGUUCUACUAAACCAAUGAUUUGGGAGGAAAUUAAGCAUAGCGGGCUCCACUCUAAAGGGAGGGCUUGCCGACGACGAAAGCUUUGCCAACUCAUGUCAUAUACCUUGGUUAUGAUCCUCUUUCUUUUAUCUAUUUAUAUGCAUAAAUCCACAAAUAUAAGCAGUUUUAGCUCUUCGCUCUUUAUUCCUUUCCUUCUGAGAAAAAUUAGGUUUUUAGUGCACUUACAAUGGUGAUUUCAAGCUCUUGAAAGUUAACAGUUGACGUUGAAGAGCACAAGAGAGGUGGCAAUGGUCAUAUGGUGGUGGAAAUUUAAUAGAAAAUAACCUGGGCAACGGACAAAAGUGUGGAUGUGGAAAGGGAAUGACAGUUCAUCGGUGAAGAACAUCAACUACAUUAUAAUUUCUUAGUACACUAAUUUUAAUACAUGAGAAGAUUACAUAUUUAGGUAUAUGGCGACUUUUGUUUUCCCUUUGUAAAUAGUUAUGUGAAGAAAAAGUUUAAAGACCAUGUCUGAAUUUCAUGUAUUGAUAAUGCAUCCAUAGUUUUCA